UACGGAGGAUGCAAGCGUUGUUCGGAUUUAUUGGGCGUAAAGCGCGUGUAGGCGGUUUCUUAAGUCUGAUGUGGAAGCCCUGGGCUCAACCCAGGAAGUGCAUUGGAUACUGGGAGACUUGAAUACGGGAGAGGGUAGUGGAAUUCCUAGUGUAGGAGUGAAAUCCGUAGAUAUUAGGAGGAACACCGGUGGCGAAGGCGGCUACCUGGACCGAUAUUGACGCUGAGACGCGAAAGCGUGGGGAGCAAACAGG
rnacentral:rRNA from 1 species